GAGCUUCAGCCUACUAACCGCAUUCACAGAGAGAAUAUUUGAACAGCUUGCAGAUGAUGUAGUCUUUGGUUGCUUCAUGCUCCUGGAUGCCAGACACAAAAUCUUCUUGUGUCUCAAUAUGGUCCAGGGGAUUUUCAUGAGAAAGACUACAAAAAGGGUGCUGACCCACAUAGGAGAAGUAUUCGGGUUUUAUAUCAGCCCCAUGUGUUACUGGAGGUUGAAUCGCAGACCUGUUGGUAUAGAACUAACGAGACCUGAUCAAUUUGUCAUCGUUCUCUGUCGAAAAUCUUUAGCAUCCGAGUAGGAGCAGAUGGCUCAGGGAUUGCAGCCCCCUCUCCAUUUAACUUCUAACCUGGUGCAUUACACAAAUGACCCUCGGGAUAACGCAGGUGUCAGCACAAGGAUGGCGACCACGUUUUCUGCUCGCGGGUC
rnacentral:lncRNA from 1 species